GUGAACGCUGGCGGUAGGCCUAACACAUGCAAGUCGCACGGCAGCACAGUAAGAGCUUGCUCUUACGGGUGGCGAGUGGCGGACGGGUGAGGAAUACAUCGGAAUCUACUUUUUCGUGGGGGAUAACGUAGGGAAACUUACGCUAAUACCGCAUACGACCUACGGGUGAAAGCAGGGGAUCUUCGGACCUUGCGCGAUUGAAUGAGCCGAUGUCGGAUUAGCUAGUUGGCGGGGUAAAGGCCCACCAAGGCGACGAUCCGUAGCUGGUCUGAGAGGAUGAUCGGCCACACUGGAACUGAGACACGGUCCAGACUCCUACGGGAGGCAGCAGUGGGGAAUAUUGGACAAUGGGCGCAAGCCUGAUCCAGCCAUACCGCGUGGGUGAAGAAGGCCUUCGGGUUGUAAAGCCCUUUUGUUGGGAAAGAAAAGCAGCAGGUUAAUACCCCGCUGUUCUGACGGUACCCAAAGAAUAAGCACCGGCUAACUUCGUG
rnacentral:rRNA from 1 species